rnacentral:lncRNA from 1 species
AUCACCAUGACUUAUCAAUAUCAAACAUUUUCUCAACCAAACAUGGCCAUAUCAUAAAAUUAUUUACACAAAAUAGGUAUUUUGCUAUACAUGCCAUACUUAAGUAGUUGUAGAAGCCAUUUACCAAGAUAAAAGUCCUUUGGAUAGUGUGAUCGAACUUUCGACCUAUCCCGAUUCCUGAGCCGACUUGCUCAAAACUUGGUACCAAAAUAUAAAGAUUUUGCAAUUUAGUCCACAAUCUUUUCUUUUCCUCGAUCACAACUUGAAUCUCGUUUUUCUUGAUUAUGGAGCUUGGAAGCUUGAAACAAACCCUAGCUAUGGAGAACCCUUGAAAUUUCGGCCUAAUGAAGAAGAUGGACAAAAAUUGGCUUUUAAUUUUGUUUUUAAUUCAUUUUAAUAACUAAAUGACCAAAAUACCCUUACUACUAAACUUUCCAAAAAUUCCUUCCAUGUCCUAAUUUUUUCCAUGAACUUAAAAUUGGUCAAAUUGCUAUUUAAGACCUCCUCAUUAAUAUUCCAAAACAAUUUCAUACUAAAAACUUCUAGAAUGCAAGUUUUGCAACUUAUUCGAUUUAGUCCCUACUUUUAAUUUAAGCACUUUAGGCAUAGAAUUUCAUCACGAAAUUUUCACACAAUCAUGCAAUCAUAUCAUAAACAUCAAAAUCAUUGUAAAAUAAUUAUUUCUAUCUCGGAUUUGUGGUCACGAAACCACUAUUCUGAUCAAGCCCUAAUUCAGGAUAUUACAACUCUCCCCCCCUUUUUAAGGAUUUUCGUCCUCGAAAAUCUUACCGGUAAACAGGUGUGGGUAUUGGUUUCUCAUAGUUUCUUUAGGUUCCCAUGUAGUCUCUUCUACCCCAUGCUUUUGCCACAACACUUUUACAAGUGCAACACUUUUAUUUCUUAGUUGUUUGACUUCUCGAGCUAAAAUCUUAAUCGGUUCUUCUUCAUAAGUCAUAUCCGGUCGCAGUUCAAUUUCUGUCGGUGAAAUUAUAUGUGAAGGAUCCGAACGAUACCGACGUAACAUAGAUACGUGAAACACAACAUGGAUCUUCUCUAAUUCGGGUGGUAACGCUAGCCGAUAUGCUAUCGGUCCAACUUUUUCAAUUAUUUCGUACGGUCCAAUAAAACACGGACUAAACUUGCCCUUUCGUCCAAAUCUAAGGACUUUCUUCCAUGGAGACACUUUCAAAAAUACCUUAUCACCAACUUGAAACUCCAUUUCCUUUCGUUUCAAAUCCGCAUAAGAUUUCUGUCUAUCUGAAGUAGCUUUCAAACAAUCUCGAAUCACUUUUACCUUUUCUUCGGUUUCUUUUAUUAUAUCAACUCCAUAAAUCUGAUUUUCCUUGAGUUCAGUCCAAUACAAUGGCGUCCGACAUUUACGACCAUAUAAUGCUUCAUAAGGUGCCAUCUUCAAACUUGUCUGAUAACUAUUAUUAUAAGCAAAUUCUACCAACGGUAAAUACUUUUCCCAACUACCUUGAAAUUCCAAUACACAACAUCUGAGCAUGUCUUCAAGAAUCUAAAUUACUCUCUCUGAUUGUCCAUCAGUUUGUGGAUGAAAGGCAGUGCUGAAAUUUAACUUUGUACCUAAUGCUUCUUGCAACUUUUUCCAAAACCGUGAGGUAAACCUCGGAUCUCUAUCAGAAAUGAUUGACAAAGGUAUCCCAUGAAGUCUAAAAAUCUCUCGGAUAUACAAUUCAACCAACUUAUUAAGAGAAUAAUCUGUACGUACCGAAAUAAAAUGAGCCGAUUUAGUCAGUCUGUCAACUAUUGCCCAGAUGGCAUUUUUCUUCCCUGGAGUUAACGGCAACCCUGAUAUAAAAUCCAUAGUAACCCGAUCCCAUUUCCAUUCAAGAACCAUAAUAGGCUAGAGUAAUCCCGAAGGUACUUGGUGUUCAGCUUUCACUUGUUGGCAAACUAAGCACUUUGAUAUAAACUCAGAAAUAUCUCUUUUCAUUCCACUCCACCAGUACAUAUUCUUCAAGUCAUUAUACAUCUUCGUACUGCCCGAAUGAAAGCUAAACAACCAUUAUGUGCUUCAUGCAAAAUCUUUUGAAUCAACUCAUCAUUUUUUGGUACACAAAUCCGAUUUUUAAACAUCAAACAACCAUCAGAACCGAUUCUGAAAUCUGAUCCCGUAUCAGCUUCACACUGUUUUCUUUUGGCUAUCAAAUCUUGAUCAUUUUUUUGAGCUUCAGAAAUCUCUUGUAAAAACAUCGGUCUUGCUCUUAACUCUGCUAGAAUCGAACCGUCAUCUAAAAUUUUCAACUGGGUGUUCAUAACUCUCAAAGCAAACAACAACUUUCUGCUUAAAGCAUCGGCAACCACAUUCGUUUUUCCUGGAUGAUAAUCGAUAACAAGCUCGUAAUCUUUCAAUAACUCCAACCAUCUUCGCUGUCUCAAAUUCAAGUCUUUUUGUGACAUCAAGUAUUUAAGACUUUUGUGAUCGGUAUAUACUCGGCACUUUUCACCAUACAAAUAAUGUCGCCAAAUCUUCAAAGCAAAUACCACCGCAGCCAAUUCCAAAUCGUGAGUAGGAUAAUUCUUCUCAUGAGGUUUUAACUGUCUCGAAGCAUAAGCCACCACUUUUCCUUCUUGCAUGAGCACACACCCCAAACCAUUUAGAGAAGCAUCACUAUACACUACAAAUUCUUUACCUAAUUCGGGUUGUAUCAACACUGGUGCUUCAGUUAAGAACUUUUUCAAUUCUUCGAAACUCUGUUGACAUUCUUCCGUCCAUUCAAAUUUAACAUCCUUUCGGAGUAGUCUAGUCAUAGGAGCAGCAAUUAUAGAAAAUCCAUUUACGAACCGCCGAUAAUAACCAGCUAGCCUCAAGAAACUUCUAACUUCAGUUACGUUUUUCGAUGGUUUCCAAUCAACAAUGGCUGAAAUUUUACUAGGAUCAACCCGUAUACCAUCACCUGAAACAAUAUGACCCAAAAAUCCAACUUCCCAGAGCCAAAAUUCACUUUUACUAAACUUAGCAUACAGCUGCUUAUCUCUCAAAGUUUGCAAAACUAUCCUCAAAUGCUCAGCAUGCUCUGUCUCAUCUUUUUAAUAAAUUAAAAUAUCAUCUAUAAACACCACAACAAAUCUGUCCAAGUAUGGCCGAAAUAUGCGAUUCAUUAAAUCCAUAAACACAGCAGGAGCAUUUGUCAACCUGAAUGGCAUAACUAAAAAUUCAUAAUGACCGUACCUUGUUCUAAAAGCAGUUUUAGGCACAUCUGACUCUUUUACUCGCAGCUGAUAAUACCCAGAUCUCAAGUCAAUCUUUGAAAACCAUGUCGCUCCUUUUAGCUGAUCAAACAAAUCAUCAAUUCUCGGCAACGGAUACUUGUUUUUAUUGUCACAUUGUUUAACUACCGAUAAUCAACACAUAAUCUCAUAGAACCAUCCUUCUUUUUCACAAAUAACACGGGAGCACCCCAAGGUGAAAAACUCGGUCUCACAAAGCCUUUAUCAGUCAACUCUUGAAACUGCGACUUUAAUUCUUUCAACUCUGUUGGUGCCAUUCUAUAUGGAGCAAUCGAGAUCAGAGCUGUUCCCGAUAUUAAAUCAAUACCAAAUUCUACUUCCCUGACUGGAGGCAAACCCGGUAAUUCUUCUGGAAAUACGUCCGCAAAUUCACACACAACCGGCACUGAUUCAACUUUCUUUUCAACUUCUUUUGUAUUAAUUACAUACGCCAAAUAAGCUUCAUAACCCUUUCUCAAAUAUCUCUGAGCUGACAUCGAAGAAAUCAUACUAGAUAAUGCCUCUGAUUUGUCUGGCUCAACCCGCAGAAUUUCACCACUUUCACACUUUAAUUCUAUAACCUUUUCUUUACAAUUUAUUAUAGCAUCAUGCAAUGUCAACCAAUCCAUACCCAAAAUAACAUCAAAUUCAUCAAACGAAAACAACAUCAAGUCAGCCGGAAAGUAAUGACCCCGAAUCAUUAAAGGGCAUUUCUUGCUUACUUUAUCAACUAUCACGCAUUUGCCUAACGGGUUCGACACUCUAAUCAUAAAUUCUGUGUUCUCAACAGGUAUAUUCAUACUAGACACCAGUUUAAUGCAUACGUAUGAAUGAGUAGAACCAGGAUCAAUCAAAGCAAUAACAUUAAUAUCAUAAAGAGAAAAUGUACCGGUAAUCACAUCUGGUGAGGAAGCAUCUUCACGCGCUUUAAUAGCAUAAGUUCUAGCCGGAGCUCUUCCCUCAAAUCUAACUGCUGCAUCUCUGGCUACAUUCUUACUGCUUGUUUCACUUCUAGCUUUUCUCGGAUACCUUCCCCUCGAGUUUGCACCACUAGCUUUUACACUCUGAAAUUUUUCUUUCCCAGCUCUCUCUGGGCAGUCUCUAAUAAAAUGAUCCGGAGAACCACAUCGAAAACAUUCAUUGGCUCUGCACAGACCAAAAUGAUUUCUACCACACCGCUGGCACUCGAGUUUAACAAAUCUCGAGUUCCCUACACUGGCUGCAGAAGUAUUCUGAGAUUUAGGACCCACAUUCUGCUUCUUAAAAUUUCCAUAUGAUUGCCCAGCUGAAACUUGGGAACGAGGAUUCAUAUUUCUUGACUUUUCGGGUUGCUGUGAAGGUGCCUUACUCAUUGGCCUUUUCUUCCAAUUUCGUGUCUCAGCCUCUACUUUCCUCUUCUCUUUAAGUAGUUCUUCAGCCUUACAAGCUCGAUCAACUAGAACUACCAUUUCUUUCAGUUCAAGGAUCCCGACAAAUACUUUAAUGUCUUCGUUGAGCCCGUCUUCAAAUCGUCGGCACAUCUUGGCUUCUGUAGGAACAUAUUCCCUGGCAUACUUACUCAAUCGAACAAACUCUCUUUCAUAUUCUAAGACUGUCAUAUUACCUUGCUUCAGCUCAAGAAACUCUUUACAUUUCUGAUCAAUAAAUCUUUCACUAAUAUAUUUCUUCCAAAACUCUUCUUGAAAGAAUUCCUAGGUUACCCUCUCUUUCGAUACCACCGAAAUCAAAGUCUUCCACCAAUUAUAGGCUGAAUCUCUCAACAAAGAUGUAGCAUAUUUCAAACAUUCUUCAGGUGUACAAGAUAAUUCAUCAAAUACCCGGAUAGAAUUUUCAAGCCAGAACUCUACUUUCUCUGCAUCAUCAUCAAUAUUUGCUCUAAAUUCUUCAGCCCUUUGUUUACGAAUUCUAUCAACGGGGGUUCUGUAAAAUUUUAUUAUAUCCACUCCUUGAGGCAUUGGAGGCAUAGGUUGAGGAAUUGGGGGAGGUCGUACAUUUGGGUUCGUACGAACGAACUCAGUGUACCAUGCACUCAUCAUUUGGAGAAAGGUUUUUCGAUCCCUUUCUCCUCCUCCCUGACCAACAGUAGGAGGUGGGUUUUCAGUCGGCGUUGCCCCUUCAGCCAGAGCUGGCGCAUUACUCUCUACUUCAUCUGCCACAGCUGGAUCGGGAUCCAUUUACUAUAUAAAAAUCAUUUAAAAAGAUCAAAAGUCGUCACACUAUCACAAUUCAUACAUAUGGCAUGUAUAGCAAAAUUCGUACAUACAACACGUAGUCCGAGAACCGACUAAACCUGCUCUGAUACCACUAAAUGUAAUCCGAACAUAAUUUAUCAAUUUAAGAACUUCAAAUCAUUUGUUUCUACAUUCACAGCUUUCUAGCUACUCGCGUCACAGUUACAAGAAAAAUCAUAUCUCGAGUUACGAAACUUGAAAUCAAGAUCCGUAAAUUUUUCCUGAAUCUAGACUCAUAUAUCUAUUUACUAAUUUUUUAUAGAAUUUUUUAUUGGGCCAAUUAGUACAGUUUAUUAAUUAAAGUAUCCCCUAUUUUAGGGUUCGACUCCUCUAAUCUCUGUGUAUUACGAAUCAGAUAUAUCUCUAUACAAAAUUUCAAUGACUAUGAGGUUUGUUUCUAUUAAAACUAGACUAAAAAAGGAAUCUGUACAUAUAAAUAACAACUUCUAAUUAUUUUAGUAAAAUUUAUUAUGAAUUUUUAAAGUCAGAAUAGGGGAUCCAGAAAUCACUCUGGCCCUAUUUCGCAAAAGUUUAAAUAUCUCAUAAAAUAUAAUUUAUAUUCAUGUUUUUUUCAAUCCAUAUGAAAAUAGACUCAUUAAGCUUCAAUUUCAUAACUUACUCAUCAUUUAUUUCUAUUUAUACUAUUUUUAGUGAUUUUUCAAAUUCAUAUCAUUGCUGCAGCAAUAUUCUAUUUUAACGCAAGUUUCAUCUUUCCAUGAAUAUUUAUGAACUAGAUAACCUGUUAAACUUCCAUGAUAUCAAACAUGAUCUAAAUUAGUCAUCACCAUGACUUAUCAAUAUCAAACAUUUUCUCAACCAAACAUGGCCAUAUCAUAAAAUUAUUUACACAAAAUAGGUAUUUUGCUAUACAUGCCAUACUUAAGUAGUUGUACAAGCCAUUUACCAAGAUAAAAGUCCUUUGGAUAGUGUGAUCGAACUUUCGACCUGUCCCGAUUCCUGAGCCGGCUUGUUCAAAACUUGGUACCAAAAUAUAAAGAUUUUGCAAUUUAGUCCACAAUCUUUUCUUUUCCUCGAUCACGACUUGAAUCUCGUUUUUCUUGAUUAUGGAGCUUGGAAGCUUGAAACAAACCCUAGCUAUGGAGAACCCUUGAAAUUUCG